rnacentral:rRNA from 1 species
CCCAGCAGCCAUGUCACCCUGCAAUUCACAUCUGGCAACCCACUGGAGCUCAGCAGGUGUGAGCCUGGUCAGUAGCUGGAUGGGAGACCUUCUGGGGAAAAACUAAGGUUGCUGCUGGAA